AGCAUUAUGUGGGGUAUAAUCCAGUUACUUUGAUGUAGUAAAGUUUAGAAAUAUUUUCUUGAUGCU
rnacentral:tRNA from 1 species